GCCUUCGUGGUGUAAUGCUCAAGCACACUCGACGCGUAUUCGAGAGGUCCGUGGUUCGAUUCCCGUCGAGAGCA
rfam:Stegodyphus mimosarum contig111077, whole genome shotgun sequence.